GACGAACGCUGGCGGCGUGCCUAAUACAUGCAAGUCGAACGAGAGCGACCGGUGCUUGCACUGGUCAAUCUAGUGGCGAACGGGUGAGUAACACGUGGGUAACCUGCCCAUCAGAGGGGGAUAACAUCCGGAAACGGAUGCUAAAACCGCAUAGGUCUUCGAACCGCAUGGUUUGAAGAGGAAAAGAGGCGCAAGCUUCUGCUGAUGGAUGGACCCGCGGUGCAUUAGCUAGUUGGUGAGGUAACGGCUCACCAAGGCCGUGAUGCAUAGCCGACCUGAGAGGGUGAUCGGCCACACUGGGACUGAGACACGGCCCAAACUCCUACGGGAGGCAGCAGUAGGGAAUCUUCCGCAAUGGACGCAAGUCUGACGGAGCAACGCCGCGUGAGUGAAGAAGGUUUUCGGAUCGUAAAACUCUGUUGUUAGAGAAGAACAAGUGCUAGAGUAACUGUUAGCGCCUUGACGGUAUCUAACCAGAAAGCCACGGCUAACUACGUG
rnacentral:rRNA from 1 species